UACGGGGGGGGCAAGCGUUGUUCGGAAUUACUGGGCGUAAAGCGCGCGCAGGCGGCCUUUUAAGUCUGAUGUGAAAGCCCACGGCUCAACCGUGGAAGGUCAUUGGAAACUGAAAGGCUUGAGUACAGAAGAGGAAAGCGGAAUUCCACGUGUAGCGGUGAAAUGCGUAGAGAUGUGGAGGAACACCAGUGGCGAAGGCGGCUUUCUGGUCUGUAACUGACGCUGAGGCGCGAAAGCGUGGGGAGCAAACAGG
rnacentral:rRNA from 1 species